rnacentral:rRNA from 1 species
AGCGAACGCUGGCGGCAGGCCUAACACAUGCAAGUCGAACGAACUCUUCGGAGUUAGUGGCGGACGGGUGAGUAACACGUGGGAACGUGCCUUUUGGUUCGGAAUAAAUCAGGGAAACUUGUGCUAAUACCGAAUGUGCCCUUCGGGGGAAAGAUGUAUCGCCAUUAGGUCGGCCCGCGUCUGAUUAGCUAGUUGGUGAGGUAACGGCUCACCAAGGCGACGAUCAGUAGCUGGUCUGAGAGGAUGACCAGGCACACUGGGACUGAGACACGGCGCAGAAUCCUACGGGAGGCAGCAGUGGGGAAUCUUGCGCAAUGGGCGAACGCGUGACGAAGCCAUGCUGCGUGAAUGAUGAAGGUCUUAGGAUUGUAAAAUUAUUUCAACGGGGACGAUAAUGACGGUACCCGGAGAAGAAGCCCCGGCUAACUUCGUG